rnacentral:tRNA from 1 species
GAGGGCAGAGCUCAGCGGCAGAGCGCAUGCUUAGCACGCAUGAGGUCCUGGGCUCAAUCCCCAGCACCUCCU